GUUGAGUACUCAGAAUUUUUGGGUACGAUGAUUUACAUCUGAAUAGGAAGAUCUGAU
rnacentral:snoRNA from 1 species